CUUAGUGCGAUUGAUUUAGCGGCCGCCGUUCGAUCUUGUGCAGCAGCCGCGUGAUUCCAGCUCGAUAGCGUAUAUUAAAGUUGUUGCGGUUAAAAAGCUCGCAGUUGAACCUUGAACCUGGCUGGCCGGUCCGCCUCACCGCGUGCACUGUUCCGGCCGGGCCUUUCCCUCUGUGGAACCCCGUACCCUUCACUGGGCGUGGCGGGGAAACAGGACAUUUACUUUGAAAAAAUUAGAGUGCUCCAGGCAGGCCUAUGCUCGAAUACAUUAGCAUGGAAUAAUAAAAUAGGACGCGCGGUUCUAUUUUGUUGGUUUAUAGGACCGCCGUAAUGAUUAAUAGGGACAGUCGGGGGCAUCAGUAUUCAACUGUCAGAGGUGAAAUUCUUGGAUCAGUUGAAGACUAACUACUGCGAAAGCAUUUGCCAAGGAUGUUUUCAUUAAUCAGGAACGAAGGUUAGGGGAUCGAAGACGAUCAGAUACCGUCGUAGUCUUAACCAUAAACUAUGCCGACUAGGGAUCGGACGGUGUUAUUCAUGACCCGUUCGGCACCUUACGAGAAAUCAAAGUGCUUGGGCUCGCGGAGAGAUAGACAAAGUCGCAAGGCUGAAACUUAAAGAAAUUGACGGAAGGGCACCACCAGGGGUGGAGCCUGCGGCUUAAUUUGACUCAACACGGGGAAACUCACCAGGUCCAGACACAAUAAGGAUUGACAGAUUGAGAGCUCUUUCUGAUUUGUGGGUGGUGUGCAUGGCCGUUCUUAGUUGGUGGGGUGACUUGUCUGCUUAAUUGCGAUAACGAACGAGACCUUAACCUGCUAAAUAGCCCCGCAUUGCUUCG
rnacentral:rRNA from 1 species